GACGAACGCUGGCGGCGUGCUUAACACAUGCAAGUCGAACGGAAAGGCCCUGCUUUUGUGGGGUUCUCGAGGGGCGAACGGGUGAGUAACACGUGAGUAACCUGCCCUUGACUUUGGGAUAACUUCAGGUAACUGGGGCUAAUAUCGGAUAGGAGCUCCUGCUCCAUGGUGGGGGUUGGAAAGUUUCGGCGGUUGGGGAUGGACUCGCGGCUUAUGAGCUUGUUGGUGGGGUAGUGGCUUACCAAGGAUGUGACGGGUAGCCGGCCUGUGAGGGUGGACGGCCACAUUAGGACUGAGGUAGGGCGCAGACUGGUACGGGAGGCAGCAGUGGGGAAUAUUACACAAUGGGCGGGAGCGUGAUGCGAAGGCGCCGCGUGCGGGAUGACGGCCUUCGGGUUGUGAACCGCUUUCGCCUGUGACGAAGCGUGAGUGACGGUAAUGGGUGAAGAAGCACCGGCUAACUACGUG
rnacentral:rRNA from 1 species